UAUCUGACGACUCUCACUAUCCUCUCUGGAGAACACAAAUUUAUAUCACAGACUCUUCAAUUGAGAGAGAGAGAGAGCGAGCGACGAGAGAGAGACAGAGUUCGAUUCUUUCUAGUGGCGGCGACAUGAAGAAGAAGUCAAGAGGAGUUUUGGGUGAAACGCAAACACUGUGUUGUUGUGUGUUCGAUUUCGGACGAUGAUGGAUGAUUCACACUCAGAUUUUUCGGAGGGUGAAGUUUGUGUAAGAUCCAGAACUCCAAACACGGUGUCCGGCCGGCGUGUAUCGAACUGUUCGAUUCGAAAAGGGAAACGAUUGUUAAAAUCGAAUCUACAGUUUGAUGUAUUCUCCAUUCGGAUUCAGCAAAUUCAAAGCCAAAACAACAAGUCAGAGGUGGUGAAACGAAACAGGUGCGUAUGUGUGUUCCAACCAUGACGAUGUUGACUCAGAUCUUUGUCAAGGACAGUACGAAGUAUACUGAGAUAUAUAUGAUGCACUGCCACUUCCUUCCCAUUGAUGUUAAGGAUUGAUGCUGAAUUAUGGACCCAAAGGAUGGCAACAAAAUCCUCUUCUUCUUAUUGCUCUGUGCUACUGAAGUGUUUAUGAUGGAGAUAUAUAGAUAUAUGGUGGUUCACUUCCUUCCCAUUAAUGCCAAGGAGGACGCUGAAUUAUGGACCCAACCGAUGGAAAAUAAAUCAUCUUCUUAUAGCUCUGUGCUACUGAAGUGUUACCCAGACCAUGGAACACUUCUCUCUUGGAUUUUUGAGUUUUACUAACCACUAUACAGGGACAUAUUCACUGAUCCUAAUGGAAGUUAGAAGACUCUCUGAAUUCCGAGGUUUGUGUUCACUUCUUCUACUGUACAUGGCCUCGCAUCAUCUGCUUCAUGCCAAGAUUUGAAGGAGAUCAUAUGCGGGGAUAGCUGGUGAUGUGUGAUUUGCUGAGGUCACUCGAGACAGUGGUGCGUCUUCUUCCUUGUCCACUUCAAAUUCUCCACAUCCAUAUAAGUUGUGACGACGACGGUAUCUAUGAUAUUGUUAAUCUUCUGGAGAGUGUUGCGGAUGAUCGGAGGGGGACGUUGUUUGUUUCCAUGGCGUUUCUUCUGAUUUAACCGAUCAAGUAGAGAUGGCGGAGAUGCUUUCAAGAAUCAAAACUGAUUCUAUUGGAUUUGGUGGUGUUUGACCAAGUAGAGGUUUAAGAACCACCCAUGGCCUAACGUUGAUGCUCAUAGCGGAUUGCUGCUGAACUAUUAUCAUCUAACCGAAAGCAAGAUAUAGAUACUAAACUGUGUUUUUUGGCUGUCUCAAGGAAUCUCGUCAUUUUCUCACAGCUGAUAUGGGACCGGACUGCCACAAGAGCGGCCAAAGAGUGUAAACAUGGAGAAUGAAGAAUGAAGAAUGAAGCAAACUGCUUAAGACAUCUUCAGUGAUCCUAGUGGAAGUUAUAAGAACACACUCUGAAUUCUGAGUUACUGUACGUCGGCUCCCAUCAUCUGCUCCAUGGCAACAUUUGAAGGUCUGAUUGACAAGAUCAUUUGCGGAGAGCUUGUGGUGUCUUCUUUAAUUUGCUGAGGUCACUCGAGACAGCUUCUGAGUCUUCCUCCUUGUCCACUUCAAAUUCGACAGUUAUGUUGCAGUCUUACACAGCGAUGGUCAAAUCAUAUUCUGGAGAUUGAAUUGGCGUUUGUUUCAUGAGUCAACAGAGACGACCAUAAAUCUAUGAUACUGUUAAAUCUUCUGGAGAGUGUUGGGGUUUUAACAAGAGGAGCCAAGAAUCAGUAACCUGCUGCUGGUCUGAGAUGGAUUGAAGGAUGAAGAAGACGACUCGUACUGCUUAAGUCCAUAAGCUUUAUGAAGUGUUUGGUGCCUCCUAUUCUAACUGAGCCUGGGAAAGUUACUGUACGUGGGCUCCCAUCAUCUGCUCCAUUGCAAGAUUUGAAGGUCUGAUUGACAACUAAUAUUUUGCUGCAGCAUUUUGGUUUCUGCAGCAUUUUGUCUUUUGUUUCUACUAUAAAUGACGGUUGCAGGUGGAGAUCUACACGAUGGAAGGGAAGUCAUUCUCCAGGCAUCGCCGCCGUGGAGCCCGGUAAGAGUGAAAACCAACCCCGACUCUGACAGCGUUCUUCGUCCCCUGCUAAUAGUGGAGAGUUGGAGAGAGCCCAACUGCGUCUGGCUAGGGAGAUUUUUUUGGAAUUACUCCUGAAUAGCUUUGUCAUAAUGUUCCCAAAACGACGUCGUUAUGAAGAAUCAUCGAAACAGCAUUGCGUUAUUAUCUAAUCAAGGGUGAGAAUCUGAUGAGUUAAAAGGUAAAGAAAGAAUCAACUCACUGCCUGAUGCGAUGCGAUAAUUAGGAGAGGUCUGAAUCGUAUAAUGUGCACCAAAACCUAAAAGAAAUACAUAAAGAUCGAGAUAAUGAUCAUGACGAUAUAUUGGCUAGCAUCAAUAUAGAAUUGCAGAACCAGGUUGUGGAACAGAGGAAACAGCAAA